UUUUCAUCGCCGAAUCCGAGAAUUAUUUCGAUUUUGUUUGAUUAACCGAGAUUUAGUUAGUUUUAAUGUUGUUUUAUUUUAUUUUAAGCUAUUUAGAUCUUGAUUUUCACUGUAAUGGAGAAAUUCAAUUGAGAUACGUACAUGAAGUUGUUGCUACCUACAGAUCAAGAUGAUCAACAAAGAAUCAGUCAAGAUAAAUCAUAUUGUAUAUACGAUGCACUGCAGAAAAAUCACAGUAUAUAUACGCUGCACUGCUGAACAAUCAUAACUUAAAAGCAGCACUCCAUAUAAAAUCGCAGUGCAUAAACUAUGUAUUGACAAGUGGGUGAAGGAAAGUGCAUAAAAGCAGUACAUAAAAGCAUCACUCCAGAGGAAAGGCAAGCUUGAAGUCCAAAAUAAUCUCUGAAGAGGUUUAUUAUCCUCUAGCAUAUGCUUAGUUUCUGGAGAAGACGUUACACUAGUUCCUGAAGAAGAUGUUGCUUCUUGGUCCUCUUCAAAUAAGGAUAAUCUCAUGAUGUUUGAUUUCUUAUGAUAACACAUUUUUUGUUUGGAUGAAUACAUGUUUAUACAUGUGCAUGGUAAAACUAAAGCUCAUGAGGAUCUGCAUACUACAAGUCUUAUUAAU